AGGUAUAGUUGUGCAAGAUCUUUCAGCAGCUCCAGAAGCAAAAAGGAGCAGCCUACAUGUGAACUUCUGUCAAAUUAUAAUCCUCAAAGUGGCAUACAUCACUGCCUGAUGAUUGUGAAUAGUCUUGAACUCAAUGUACUUCCACAGAAUAUAUUUUGACAAUCACCUUUUUCAUGUUAAAGUUUCACCAUAAGUUACACAUACAAUGGCUUGGUGCUUGUUUACACAUAUCCACGCACCUACCAAACACCUUCAUGUUUCCUAAACUAAAAGAAAUUGAAACAUCAACAUUCUUUAUGAAUGGCAUAAACUGAUAGGAUUUGAACAUUGCAGAUAAAAUCUUAAAUUAAAAUUUCAAUCAGGAGAAAGAGUAAACUCUUGUAAAAAAGAAUCUCACCACUCUUUCCAUCUCUUCUUCAUACUCUUCCCGCAUUCGGCGAUUAUAUCUUUUCCAUGCUUCCUCCUGAAAACUUGUCCGAAAUGAACCACCAUUUGAACCGUUCCAUGAUGAUCUAGACCUGCUCAACUUUUUGCAGUGCAGUACCAUAUAAGUUCAAAACAUAUUACUGAAGACUAAAACAGUUGAUAUUAGUUAAGCUUCCCCUUCCUUUUACCCCUUUAGAGCAUGAGUCUUGUUUUACCCCUUCUCCUCAUUCUUUGUUUUUUCUUUUCCUAUCGGAGGAUGGGAAGGUUGGGGCGAAGUUUCUCUUGCACAUGAAUAUUAUAAAAGGAUGCAGAACCAAAGGAUUUAAGUGCCAUCUGUCUUAAAGAAACAACUUUUAAAACAUUUUUGCCAACAUAUCACUUCUCAAACCAAUUAACUUUACAUAGCUCUACGAGGAACCAUGAGGAAGGCCAAGUAUUGGCAAAUUAAAUGCUAACAACAGACAGCUAACCAUUAUUUCAAUGAAAUAAAAGUUGAAAAGAUGUCAGACCAAUUACUACCUGUGAG
rnacentral:lncRNA from 1 species